rnacentral:rRNA from 1 species
ACGGUCCGGCGAGUUACGCUUACUGGCAAGGUUAAGCACUUCAGGUGUGGAGCCGUAGGGAAACCAAGUCUUAAGAGGGCCUUAAGUCAGUAGGAGUAGACCCGAAACCGGGUGAUCUACCCAUGUCCAGGAUGAAGCUGCCGUAAGAGGCAGUGGAGGUCCGGACCCACAUCCGUUGAAAAGGGUGGGGAUGAGGUGUGGGUAGGGGAGAAAUUCCAAUCGAACCCGGAGAUAGCUGGUUCUCCUCGAAAUAGCUUUAGGGCUAGCCUCGGUCAUGAGUCUUGUGGAGGUAGAGCACUGAAUUUCCUAGGGGGCGUCAAAGCCUACCGAAGAAUAUCAAACUCCGAAUGCCAUGUAGAUAAGACCGGGAGUCAGACUGCACGAGAUAAGUUGGGCAGUCAAAAGGGAAAGAGCCCAGACCUUCAGUUAAGGUCCCAAAGUGUACGUUAAGUGGAAAAGGAUGUGGGGUCUCGAAGACAACCAGGAUGUUGGCUCAGAAGCAGCCAUUCAUUCAAAGAGUGCGUAAUAGCUCACUGGUCGAGAGGCCCUGCGCCGAAAAUGUCCGGGGCUGAAACGUACCACCGAAACUAAGGGAUCCGCAAGGAUCGGUAGAGGAGCAUUGCAUGCGGAACGAAGCAGUACCGGAAGGAGCUGUGGACUGCAUGGAAGAGAGAAUGCCGGAAUGAGUAGCGAGAUAAAGGUGAGAAUCCUUUAGGCCGAAUAUCCAAGGUUUCCAGGGUAAAGCUGAUCUGCCCUGGGUAAGUCGGGGCCUAAGGCGAGGACGAGAGUCGUAGCCGAUGGACAACAGGUGGAGAUUCCUGUACUGCGGUAUGACAGAACUGUGGGGACACGUAAGGAAAGCGGAAGCCGGGAAUGGAAAGCCCGGUGCAAGCAGGGUACCAGACACUCAGGCAAAUCCGGGUGUCAAUGGGAAGCUGUGAUGCGGAGCGAAAUACAAGUAGCGAAGUCCGUGAGCCAUGCGUCAAGAAAAGCCGCUAUUGUUUAUACCGUACCCGUACCGUAAACCGACACAGGUGGAUGAGGAGAGAAUCCUAAGGCCGGCGGAAGAAGCAUUGUCAAGGAACUCGGCAAAAUGACCCCGUAACUUCGGGAGAAGGGGUGCCACUGAGAAGUGGCCGCAGAGAAUAGGCUCAAGCAACUGUUUAGCAAAAACACAGGUCUAUGCGAAACCGAAAGGUGAGGUAUAUGGGCUGACGCCUGCCCGGUGCUGGAAGGUUAAGAGGAGAGGUUAGCGGAAACGCGAAGCUUUGAAUUUAAGCCCCAGUAAACGGCGGCCGUAACUAUAACGGUCCUAAGGUAGCGAAAUUCCUUGUCGGGUAAGUUCCGACCCGCACGAAAGGCGUAAUGAUUUGAGCGCUGUCUCGACAAUGCAUCCGGUGAAAUUGAAGUACCAGUGAAGAUGCUGGUUACCUGCGCCAGGACGGAAAGACCCCAUGGAGCUUUACUCCAGUUUGGUACUGGGGUCCGGUAUUGCAUGUACAGGAUAGGUGGGAGGCUAGGAAGCAGUGACGCCAGUUGCUGCGGAGCCGCUGUUGGGAUACCACCCUUGCAGUACUGGGCUUCUAACCAGCCGCCGUGAACCGGCGGUGGGACAAUGCCAGACGGGGAGUUUGACUGGGGCGGUCGCCUCCGAAAGGGUAUCGGAGGCGCCCAAAGGUUCCCUCAGAAUGGACGGAAACCAUUCGAAGAGUGCAAAGGCAGAAGGGAGCUUGACUGCGACACCGACGGGUGGAGCAGGUACGAAAGUAGGGCUUAGUGAUCCGGUGGUAUUAAGUGGGAAUGCCAUCGCUCAACGGAUAAAAGCUACCCUGGGGAUAACAGGCUUAUCACUCCCAAGAGUUCACAUCGACGGAGUGGUUUGGCACCUCGAUGUCGGCUC